AAAGAUCUGACAAUUAGAGGCUGGAGAGGGAGUGGAUAACUGCUAAUUCCAAAUCUUUUACUUCCCAAUUAUGUCAUAGUGCAGGGAUUCCCAGAUGGUGCUAGUGGUAAAGAACCCACCUGCCAAUGGAGAUGCAAGAGACUUACGUUUGAUCCCUGAGUAGGGAAGAGCCCCUAGAGAAAGGCAUGGCAACCUGUAUUCUUGCCUGGAGAAUCCCAUGGCAUGGAGAGCCUGGCAGGCAACAUGCAACAUGGGAUUGCAAAGAGUUGGAAACAACUGAAGGGACUUAGCAUGCACACAGGUCAUACUGCAUCUUGCUGAUGCCUGGAAAGUUCACCUUUUCUUCAGUUACUUUCUAACAAGGAUAUUUUCUACUCCCGUACAUAAAUGCAGCAUAUCUUCUAUCACACAACGAUUCCAAAUUUGCUUAAAACGUAGAGUGAACUUGUGAAACGAAGCAUGUGUGAAUUUGCUUUCACUCCCUGGCUCCCAGCACAGGCCCUGUGUGUCAGGCACUGCACGUACCCGGGAAGACAACGCCAGAUGAAUGGCCUGAUGGGGCUGACAGACCACUGGGUCAACUUCAGAAUUUCAGAACUGGAAGGGGUGUUCAAGAUUCUUUGGUCCAACACCUUCAUUUUAGAAGAAGUGAAGACUACACAGAGUAUACAGAGUAUUUCCUUGCAAGAUAAUCAGAAAUGAGCAAUUAUUUAAGAUAUGGAUUCUUUUUGAAAGACUUCAGCAUAGCAAAAUGGUAACUGAAUUACUACGAAUGGUAAGAGAAAAAAAGGAGUAUGUUGAUUUCCAAUGCUGUUUUUAAGCCUCCGAAGCCCCUGGCCUCCUAUUAUUCACACCUUUCCGUGGCCUUUCCACAAUGCACCAGACUGCAGCUUCUGGAGUCUUCUGUCUCUUUCUCUCCCUCUUUCCGUCCCUAUUAUUCCCUCUGGAGGAAGUCUGAUGCCUUGUCUUGAGCAGCCUCGUGAGACGUGUCCCACAGUAGCCAGGGAGCCCUGCUUUUAGGCCUUGCGGGUGAACCUGGAGGCAGAUU
rnacentral:lncRNA from 1 species